UACGUAGGGGGCAAGCGUUGUCCGGAUUUAUUGGGCGUAAAGAGCGUGUAGGCGGCUAGGUAGGUCCGUUGUGAAAACUCGAGGCUCAACCUCGAGACGUCGGCGGAAACCCUCUGGCUAGAGUCCGGAAGAGGAGAGUGGAAUUCCUGGUGUAGCGGUGAAAUGCGCAGAUAUCAGGAAGAACACCCGUGGCGAAGGCGGCUCUCUGGGACGGUACUGACGCUGAGACGCGAAAGCGUGGGGAGCAAACAGG
rnacentral:rRNA from 1 species